rnacentral:rRNA from 1 species
UGCGUAGGUGGUAUGGCAAGCCAGAAGUGAAAACCCAGGGCUUAACUCUGGGACUGCUUUUGAAACUGUCAGACUGGAGUGCAGGAGAGGUAAGCGGAAUUCCUAGUGUAGCGGUGAAAUGCGUAGAUAUUAGGAGGAACACCAGUUGCGAAGGCGGCUCUCUGGACUGUAACUGACACUGAGGCACGAAAGCGUGGGAGCAAACA